GUCCCUAGGAUCUUAACAAAAAUUUGAUGGUGCCACCUAUUCAUGAAUUAUUCAACCGGUGGAACACAAAGCAAGUCAGUCAAACAUCAAAUGAUUUAUUUUACCUCGACAAACAAAGGCUGCUUUCCCUCGGCAGCACUGCCGAAGAUGCCUCCCAUCCCACAACUCAAGGAUAGCUAUACAAGUGUGAAUCAGGCACUUACUGGUUCCAGUUUCUAGGUUCCAGUCUGCAACCACAGAGUGAAGCAGAUCCUUGAACAAGUCUAGUAAAUGGAGGAUUCCCUCUUGCAUCCCAGCAGCCGGCGCAUGGAUACUGUUACCCAGGUUACCUGCAGAAACAAUUUUAAGUAGCACUAAGCGGCUAGUUAAUUGCACACAAGUAUUCCAGCCGAUGCGAGCCAGGGGCAUAGCUCGACCCUAUUAGAUUUCACUGAAAAGAAAAAGAGUAACUGAAUAAAAUGUAUACACUUGUGUACCCGAGAAGUCCGCUGUUAGUAAAACGAAUCCCUGAAAGCUUUCUCAGAUGUCAGGAAGUACCACUGCUGCAGCAUCAACGGUGUACAGCGGGUCCUCAAUCAAGUCUGGUAACUUCUUUGUAGAAUAAGAAUUCCCUCUUGUACCAUAACCGGUUUUGUAGCACAUGGACACUUACUGAGGUGAAGCUGUAGAACAAGUCAGUUUUAGACAGUAUUCAGCAGCUUGCAUUGCACACUAGCAUUCCAGCAGACACUAACACAGGGUGUAGCUCAGCCCUGUUAGAUUUUGCUGAAAAAAAAAGUGCAUUCCCUUAGGGUCAAUACAGCUACUACGUCUAUCAUGACUGCUCUUACUUGUGGCACAAUGUCAUCUUUUGAAAAUGCACACCUCUUUAUUUCUGCUGCGUGUUACAGGUACACUGUAUGAAUGAGUAAGGCCGACCUGUGCAACUGGAAGCAUAAGGAAGACAAGCAAAAGCAUGUAUUACAUAGCAAAAAAGGCCGAAAACUACGAAUGAGUAAUGCCGGAGAAAAUCACUAAACUCCUCUACGGGAUUAUUGAUAAAUGUCCCACCAACACGACACAUACAGGGUGUUCAAAAUUAAGUUUUCACAGCACUUUAUAGAUAAGCGAACAAAAGUAAAGUUAUCAUCCGGUUUCCUUGUCAUCGCUGCAUUUGCGUAGCGCUCGUGAAAGCUUAAUUUUGAAUACCCUGUAUAAUGAGGUUAACAUUUUGCUCGGCGGGUAGUAAACGCCCAAUGAGGGAAUCGUAGUUUCGGAAACGGGGAACAAAGAAAGGCGGGCAUGGUGAUUUCACAUAUACCGUCGUAUCAGUUUGAUAUGAGUGCGCCGAAGGCGGAUUUAAUUCGUUGACAUAGCACGCUACGCUGUCACCCAAGGAAACUACUUGAUGAAGUUCAUUUACCCUGUCACGUACAUAGCCUACGUAACGGAUACUGAGUCGCAGUCACUACAUAUUUAAUAUUCCACACUGCACUGAUACCAUACAGGGACUUAUGUUGUAAAGUAAAGUACUCACCUCCUAGCUGCACAACAUCGGCGACGUAGAAAUGAAAUGCAAUCACGAAAGGCCUUGGAGCUGGCAUGGCAUCGCAUCGCAUCGCCUAGAAUUGCUUUGUCCGCUUUGAAACUUUGAAAAUGGUUAACGGAUACGCGGUUUCAAAAGGAGACUGGAUAAAAAGGAGAUAUGGAUUACCUUGUAUACACACGGCUUUUUCAUCCUCCUGAACAACUGCAACCACCACUGAACCAACUGAAGUAAUAUAAUUUUUAAAUCCAAUCUCAGCAUUGUCAUAAAAUGUGAAUCAAAAUUUGAAACAGGAACCGUCAUAUUACUGAAAUUUCUUUCGUCAGAUCUAGCGGACUCCGCCAAUGGCGGGCAACUGAGCGACGCGUAAUGGUGGGUUAUUGGUGUUCUGUUUAGUAAACCAUGGUAAACUAUGGUGAACUAGAAAGUGCACUGUAGUGGUGUAGUGGUAGUGCACUGUAGGCAAACUUAGAAGUCAACGAGCCAUUUGUCGUACUACGAGAUCUACAUUAUGGUGGAAGAGGCGACAGUUCGAGCCGCCAAUCCUUUUGCACUGUCGCUGUUUAAUUGUUCAAGAUUCAUGUGACGACAGCCGACGGCAUCAUAGAAAGAUUUACGAUGCCAAAAACUGUGACGGUGAUGGUAGUGGAAUUCAAGCUAGCUACAGCCAUCAUCUUAACUCAGCCUACGACGUACCUCAGACUAUAUGUUUAUGAUAUUACGCAGUCAGCUGUGUAGUUUGUAGGCCAUGGCAGCUUGCCUUGCCCCACUAAACCUGUUUCGAUAAUGAGAUGAAGCCGGUGGAGCCAACUUGCGGAAUGGCAACGCCAACCAGAAGAACAUUCGAAGACGUACCAACAUGGUGAUAUUCGUGUGGAAGUUCGGUAAUUAAGAGUGUCGGCGAACUCGUGUGGCAACGUGACUACAUUCGCUGUGGACCCCAAAGAACAUUCCACUUGUGUUGGUGUUGGGGGUCAUGGACAUAUUAGUGGCCUGUUCAACUGCCCCUGGUGCCUCACGUGGAGAAAUCUUUAGGACGAAAGACGAUUCGGUAUUUAUACUGUGAUAUCCGUGGAGGAGACUUCGGGGGUGUUAGCAUGGAAAUGGAGCUCACACUGAGGCUACAAACACAGGUGGUGAAGAGCAUGUUCGUUUGGACUAAACAUGACGACAAUGCAAGACAACGAAGACUGACACGGCGGCGUUCUACAGGCACCUUUCGGAAGCUCAGCAGCCACGAGCAGGAGACAAAGCGGAAAGGAAUUCUCAAGAUCUACUCCAAGGGACACAGCCCAUCAUUAUCAGUGGCUGACUUCUGAUAAAAGACACACGGAUAAAGGUGAAAGGUAUGACUGGGGCAUCGUUUGUUUUCUCUUUACACAUGAGGAAGUGUAUUUGGAGGGUAGG